GACGAACGCUGGCGGCGUGCUUAACACAUGCAAGUCGAACGGAAAGGCCUGCUUUCCCUUGUGGAUUGCGGGUACUCGAGUGGCGAACGGGUGAGUAACACGUGAGUGAUCUGCCCCCAACUUGGGUAUAAGCCUGGGAAACUGGGUCUAAUUCCCGAUAGGACUGCAGGGUGGUGCCUGUGGUGGAAAACGAUUUUCUAGUGGUUGGGGAUGAGCUCGCGGCCUAUCAGCUUGUUGGUGGGGUAAUGGCCUACCAAGGCGGCGACGGGUAGCCGGCCUGAGAGGGGGGACGGCGAGAUUGGGACUGAGCUACGGCCCAGAGUCCUACGGGAGGCAGCAGUGGGGAAUAUUGCACAAGGGGCGGAAGCCUGAUGCAGCGACGGCGCGUGGGGGAUGACGGCCUUCGGGUUGUAAACUCCUUUCGAUCGCGAGGAAGCCACCUGGUUGGAAGGGUGGUGACGGUAGUGGUAGAAGAAGCACCGGCUAACUACGUG
rnacentral:rRNA from 1 species